rnacentral:lncRNA from 1 species
AUCUCGCAAUCUGUACAACAACGACCAACAUAAUGUUUCUUUCAAUCUAAGAAAACCAUAAUAUUGUUGCAAACUACCAGCUAGCAACCAGAACAAGUUGUUCUUAUUUUUGUAGACCCAUAGUAGAAUUUUUUUUUUUGCCCUCGGGCCAAUUGCUUGAGUUGACUCUAUAAAAUAGAAAGACUUCCAUAUGCCAAGUGUUCGUAAAAGAAAUUCACUCUGAUUUAAAUUUAAAUCUGGGUCACUUAUUAUGACUCGAAGUGUUGUGCACUGUUUUGUAGCCAACUGAAAAGACACAAGUUGUUAUGCAUAAACUAGAAAGACAUCCCACGAGCUACCAAGUCUUGAUACCCCAUUCCAUUUUGGACGUUGUGUUUCGUCAUUUUCUCCAACACAAACUAUAAUAAUAAUUCACAACCAACAUUCGAAUCAGCCGGCAUUCGCUGCCCUAGUCAUUUUUGUAUUCUACGAGAACCAACAACUUCGUACUCCCUCUUUUUUCAAUACAUGGUGUAUUAAAUUUUAUUGUACAAGAUUUGACCAAGAAUUAUUUCACUAAUAUAUUCUUCAUAUGAAACAAAACGACACACCUAGCUAGUAAAUUGUGCUUCUUUCG